rnacentral:rRNA from 1 species
CUACGGGGGGCUGCAGUGGGGAAUAUUGGACAAUGGGGGAAACCCUGAUCCAGCCAUGCCGCGUGCGUGAAGAAGGCCUUAGGGUUGUAAAGCGCUUUCGGCGGGGAAGAUGAUGACGGUACCCGCAGAAGAAGCCCCGGCUAACUCCGUGCCAGCAGCCGCGGUAAUAAGGAGGGGGCUAGCGUUGUUCGGAAUUACUGGGCGUAAAGGGCGCGUAGGCGGGUCAUUAAGUCAGGGGUGAAAGGCCCGGGCUCAACCCGGGAACUGCCUUUGAAACUGAUGGUCUGGAGUCCGGAAGAGGAUGGCGGAAUUCCCAGUGUAGAGGUGAAAUUCGUAGAUAUUGGGAAGAACACCAGUGGCGAAGGCGGCCAUCUGGUCCGGUACUGACGCUGAGGCGCGAAAGCGUGGGGAGCAAACAGGAUUAGAUACCCCGGUAGUC